rnacentral:rRNA from 1 species
GAUGAACGCUGGCGGCGUGCCUAAUACAUGCAAGUCGAGCGAACGGACGCGAAGCUUGCUUCUCUGACGUUAGCGGCGGACGGGUGAGUAACACGUGGAUAACCUACCUAUAAGACUGGGAUAACUUCGGGAAACCGGAGCUAAUACCGGAUGAUAUUUUGCACCGCAUGGUUCAAUAGUGAAAGACGGUUUUGCUGUCACUUAUAGAUGGAUCCGCGCUGCAUUAGCUAGUUGGUAAGGUAACGGCUUACCAAGGCAACGAUGCAUAGCCGACCGGAGAGGGUGAUCGGCCACACGGGAACUGAGACACGGUCCAGACUCCUACGGGAGGCAGCAGUAGGGAAUCUUCCGCAAUGGGCGAAAGCCUGACGGAGCAACGCCGCGUGAGUGAUGAAGGUCUUCGGAUCGUAAAACUCUGUUAUUAGGGAAGAACAUAUGUGUAAGUAACUGUGCACAUCUUGACGGUACCUAAUCAGAAAGCCACGGCUAACUACGUG